rnacentral:tRNA from 1 species
GGGCCCUUAGCUCAGUUGGUUAGAGCAACAGUCUUAUACACUGCACGUCCUAGGUUCGAGUCCUAGAGGGCCUA